UACGUAGGGUGCGAGCGUUGUCCGGAAUUACUGGGCGUAAAGAGCUCGUAGGUGGUUUGUCGCGUUGUCCGUGAAAUUCCCCUGGCUUAACUGGGGGCGUGCGGGCGAUACGGGCAGACUGGAGUACUGCAGGGGAGACUGGAAUUCCUGGUGUAGCGGUGAAGUGCGCAGAUAUCAGGAAGAACACCCGUGGCGAAGGCGGCUCUCUGGGACGUGACUGACGCUGAGACGCGAAAGCGUGGGGAGCGAACAGG
rnacentral:rRNA from 1 species